AAGAUAUGUGCAAGCUACCCGAGACGGAUCAUCCUUUUUUGACUAUACAUUUCAAAUACGCCAAAUAAAUACUUGUUUUAAAAUAUACUAAUGCCAAUACUUGUUUUAAAAUGCACUUUCUCUACAUUUCAAAUACACCAAAUAAAUACUUGUUUUAAAAUAUACUAAUGCCAAUACGUAUAUAAAUACAUAUUUUGAUUAAUUGCAUUUUUGACCAAGUAUAUAAUUUAUGCAAAUUGGAUUUAUGGCAAGAGAAUUAAAAUUCUGUACUAAAAAGAGCGAACUAACACAAAAUGAAUGUAAAAUGCCUUGUAAAUGAUACAUCUAUGAAGCAUUUUUAGACAUCUAUCAAUAGAGUUCUAUUCUCUCUAAGUUUCAAGCUUGAACCAGCUAUCUUUUAGUCCAAAUUUUUGCAGUAAUAAUCAAUUUGUUUUUAUCAGUGGCUUCAUUCCUCUCACGGUUUCAUUUGAGAUCAGGAUUUAUCACACUGGAAUACUGAAUGACCACAUUCCUGCACGUGUUAGUACAUGCACCACACUUAACUCAUCUAAUGGCAUUUCUUGGUAUUUGAUUUAGCAUUAUUGGAGAUCCAAGCCAUGGAAUCUUAUGUUAAACGAGAAAUUUUCUUGUAAUAAUAUUUCACUCGUUAUUUGUUGAAUUAAUGUUUACUAGUUGCUCAUUUAAGGGCAAUGUUUUGUUGCAAUUGAUCAAUUUGUUUUACAUUUCCUAAGGAUUUUGGAUGACUUUGAGCAGAACCGAAGUCAACCUGAGAAGGUUACUUGCAACUGCGCCACAACAGCAAAAUCAAGCGAAGCUCAUACAUGUACAUCCGCAGUUCUCUUCACUAGAAUUGUUUACUGAGUAAUGGCCUUAGUGCUAAAUCUUCUUCUCCUUACUAUUUCUCGAGAGAUUCUCUAGAUGUAUGCUUCUUUUGGUUGAUUUAUCAAAAUGUUUUAGUAUCUAUUCAGUCUUGUUGAUUUAUAAAGAAUUAAAUGACUCAUCGCCUUUAUAAGUUAAUGAUGGGUAGAACAACAUAGUAGGUAAAUUGAUGUAUCUUUUGAAAGAUUUCUUAUUUAUUAUCAACA
rnacentral:lncRNA from 1 species